rnacentral:rRNA from 1 species
UCGGCCCCGGAGAAGGAGCCUGAGAAACGGCUACUACAUCCAAGGAAGGCAGCAGGCGCGCAAAUUACCCAAUCCCGACACGGGGAGGUAGUGACAAUAAAUACUGAUACAGGGCUCUUUUGGGUCUUGUAAUUGGAAUGAGUACAAUUUAAAUCUCUUAACGAGGAACAAUUGGAGGGCAAGUCUGGUGCCAGCAGCCGCGGUAAUUCCAGCUCCAAUAGCGUAUAUUAAAGUUGUUGUGGUUAAAAAGCUCGUAGUUGAACCUUGGGCCUGGCUGGCCGGUCCGCCUCACCGCGUGUACUGGUCCGGCCGGGCCUUUCCCUCUGUGGAAUCCCAUGCCCUUCACUGGGUGUGGCGGGGAAACAGAACUUUUACUUUGAAAAAAUUAGAGUGCUCCAGGCAGGCCUAUGCUCGAAUACAUUAGCAUGGAAUAAUAAAAUAGGACGUGUGGUUCUAUUUUGUUGGUUUCUAGGACCGCCGUAAUGAUAAAUAGGGACAGUCGGGGGCAUCAGUAUUCAAUCGUCAGAGGUGAAAUUCUUGGAUCGAUUGAAGACUAACUACUGCGAAAGCAUUUGCCAAGGAUGUUUUCAUUAAUCAGGAACGAAAGUUAGGGGAUCGAAGACGAUCAGAUACCGUCGUAGUCUUAACCAUAAACUAUGCCGACUAGGGAUCGGACGAUGUUAUUUUUUGACUCGUUCGGCACCUUACGAGAAAUC